rnacentral:rRNA from 1 species
UACGUAGGGUGCGAGCGUUAAUCGGAAUUACUGGGCGUAAAGCGUGCGCAGGCGGUUUUGUAAGCCAGAUGUGAAAUCCCCGGGCUCAACCUGGGAAUGGCAUUUGGGACUGCAAGGCUGGAGUUUGGCAGAGGAGACUGGAAUUCCCGGUGUAGCAGUGAAAUGCGUAGAUAUCGGGAGGAACACCAGUGGCGAAGGCGACUACCUGGCCCAUUCUUGACGCUGAGGCGCGAAAGCUAGGGGAGCGAACGGG